GUGCUUCCUUUGGCAGCAUAUAUACUAAAAUUGGAAUGACACAGAGAAGAUUAACAUGGCCCCUAUGCAAGGAUGACAUGCAAACUUGAAAAGCAUUCCAUAUUUUU
ensembl:snRNA U6 U6 spliceosomal RNA